AAGGAUCAUUAUUGAAUAAACUUGGUUGGGCUGUUGCUGGCUCCUCGGAGUANGUGCACGCCUAGCNCCAUUUUUACCACCUGUGCACCUUUUGUAGACNUGGAUACCUCUCGAGGAAACUCGGUUUGAGGACUGCUGUGUGAAAGCCAGCUUUCCUUUCAUUUCCAGGUCUAUGUUUUUAUAUACCCCAUAAGAAUGUAACAGAAUGUUGUUUACUGGCCUUUGUGCCUUUAAUCAAAUACAACUUUCAGCAACGGAUCUCUUGGCUCUCGCAUCGAUGAAGAACGCAGCGAAAUGCGAUAAGUAAUGUGAAUUGCAGAAUUCAGUGAAUCAUCGAAUCUUUGAACGCACCUGGCGCUCCCUGGUAUUCCGGGGAGCAUGUCUGUUUGAGUGUCAUUAAAUUCUCAACCUUUCCAGCUUUUGCGAGCUUGGUCAGGCUUGGAUGUGGGGGUUGCGGGCUUCCCAGAAGUCGGCUCUCCUUAAAUGCAUUAGUGAAACCUUUGUUGAUCAUCUCUUGGUGUGAUAAUUAUCUACGCCAUUGGAGUGUCAGCCUCAACUNUGUUGAGAGGUUCUGCUUCUAACUGUCCCNCUGGGGACAAUUUCUGACCUUUUGACCUCAAAUCAGGCAAGACUACCCGCUGAACUUAA
rnacentral:rRNA from 1 species